rnacentral:rRNA from 1 species
AGCGGCGGACGGGUGAGUAACGCGUGGGUAACCUGCCUCAUACAGGGGGAUAACAGUUAGAAAUGACUGCUAAUACCGCAUAAGACCACAGCACCGCAUGGUGCAGGGGUAAAAACUCCGGUGGUAUGAGAUGGACCCGCGUCUGAUUAGGUAGUUGGUGGGGUAACGGCCUACCAAGCCGACGAUCAGUAGCCGACCUGAGAGGGUGACCGGCCACAUUGGGACUGAGACACGGUCCAA